UCUUUGGUAUAGCAUCUUUGAUCGCGUUGAUAAUCAUUGCUGCAGCGAAGAACACAUAGCAAAGGAGGAGGCAAUUCUUUGGCAAAGACGAGAACCCUUCCACACCCAAUAUUGAUAUGUUCCUGUAAAUGACUGCGUAAGGUGCAGGGUAUUCUGAGCCCUUGGUCCCAAGAUCAUGGAAAGCUUGGUGGAAGAGCCAAAAGACACAAGGAGAUAUUACACAACCCAUUGCAGUCCCAAUCACUUGACUCGCAAACAUUGAUCUUGGUGAAGCCAGUGUCAUGUACCCGGUCUUAAAAUCCUGCAUUAGGUCGGAAGCUGUAGAUACAAUGUUCAUCAUGACGCCACAAGCAGCAAGACCUGCUAGGACCCCUCCAUGAGAUUUUCCAGCCCAUGCUCCAAUGGUGAAAAUGGCAAGCUUCCCAUAAGUUGAGGCGAGUGACCAGUCAGUCAGUCCAGACCCAUAUGCAUUACAGAAAGCUAGGACUGGUGCAAAGAUGUAAAUGACCAAGACAUGGUACCAUUCGAGCUGUGGAAAAAUGUGGGGAAGAGAUAUUAUGGAUAUAGUAGCAAUUGAAACAUAACCGCCGAUUGCUAGCCAUGUUGGUAUUUGGUCUUUGAGAAAGAGUUGGGUCCUGCACUGGUCAUCGAAGGAGGAAGAUGGUACUUCAGGACAGGGGUGAUCGGCCAGUGGAAGGAUGGUGCCCAUGUCUUUCUUCUUUAGCUGUUUAGACAAACCAACAAUUGUUCGGCUUAUCACUUUGAAGAAGUUGUAGAGUCCAUCUCCAAGGAUCAUGGCAAUUGCAAUGAAAACCUGCAAUACAAUCACAUUAUAGCUGCUUCAUUAGAUUAGAUAAGAAGCUUCAAAGAUGAUGGAACUGCAAUAAAAAUGAGAUCAUUGGAUGUAUGAAAAUUUUCAUUCUAUAGAAAGAUGGAACCAAAACCAGACCAUGAAAAAUUGUGAGUGGACAUUAAUUACCUGGUAACCUUGGAUGCCAUGGAGGCUCCUAGGGUUGAGGUCGUGAUACCAAUCGCCCUUUCUGUUUUCGAUGAGAGGCCACAUUAUACCCCAUGACAGUAUUGCUCCAAUCAAUAAAGAGAUGUUUAUUAUGUAUGGACAGAUCAUCCCCACUCCGAUGAAUGUUGCAGAGAAAUCGAAGUAGAACCUGUUUUUUUUUUUUUUUUUGGCCACAACGCUGACUGAAUUCAGACAUAUUAAGUAAAGCUCUGUAUAUCUUUGAAGCAAUUGACUGAUACUUGUCUUUUAAGCAAUGGAUAAGUAUACCAAUACAAGUAACUGAUUCUUGUCUAAUCAAAAUAUCGUUUUCAAUUGUGAUCAAAUAAAUUGAAAAUUCUGUCCUUCUAUAUUGCCAGGAAUCAAACACGUAAAAAUAAUCUGUUUAUGUGCAGAUAUUUUAGAGAUAAUAUCCACAAUAAUAGAGAGUGUUGUUGGGUACCUGUUUUUAUAGGCUUCAAGGCCAAAUGUUGGGAAUUGUGCAAAACCACAGUCAGGUGCUGCAGUGAAGAACCAUUGGAAGAAGGCCCACACAAAGCUGAAGGAGAAGAACUUGCCCAGAGUUCUUACUUGUUUGCUAAAAUUUCUCAGAAGUAAAAUAAUUAUAAUUUAGAACUUUGAAUUACUUAAUGUGUUCUCAUGAUACAGACUGCAACAUGGUAUUUAAUUAGUGAUAAAGUCAUCAUACUCAGCCAGUUUGGCUCCUUGAGGAGUGUGGAAGCUGUUGAUAAGAUGAGCAGUUGCUGUGCCACUUGGAUAUGUCAGUUUGAAGUCUAUGAUCAUGAUCUGAAAAUGCAUUUACAGAUUUGAAAUCUUUAAAAGAAAAAAAUAUGAAGAUAAGAACAAAAAACUGUGGGUGGGGGUGAAUAAGAGCAUUGAUGCAUCAAGAAUUUGAUGGAAGGUAAUGAUGUGUGAAGUGAAUCAUAUACAAAAUAAGGCACAAGGUCUUCGUUAUGUUUAAAGGCUAUUUCAGUUGCAUGCUGAAUUUAGCAGUACUUUUCCUGAGAUGUGUUGACAUCUUAUGCUAAAAGAGGGGUGGCAUAUUUGUUUCUUUUUGAUCAUUCGAGUACCAUGUGUUUUGAUAUUCAACUGUCUUUUUUGUAGGAUUUUUCAUUAGGGCUAAAUAGUUGUGUGUGUAGGAGACAAGUUCGUGGGAAGUACCUUCCGAAGAGGCACCACAGAGAAGAGGCCGAGGAAACUAACAACGAAGAGAAAGGGAAUCAUCCAUCUCAAACUUGGGUUCUUAAUAUUUUGGGGAUUGUUGCCUUCUGUUGACUGAUCGGCAGUUACUUGGCUCAUUCCAAGGAGAUAGCUUCCAAAACCCCCUGUUUGUUCAAAGUGUCAUAAUAUGGUAAUACCAACAAUCCAAAAUGCGAAGUUGGCCUGCUAAAAAAUUGAAUCUAGAUACAGGGGCUAGAUAUAACUCAGAAAUGAAUCAUAUGAUAGUAAUUUAGCACAAACUACAAGCUCAUCUAAAUCAUAUUCAGUUGGAAGUUGGAACAUAGAAGCACCAUCUACGUUCUCUCGUCCAACACUGCCUAAAAAAUCAAUUCCCAUAUACAGAGAGAGGACAUACCGCUAAAGGCAAUACCACAGGUGGCAACAACGCAUGUCUGAAUAACAGUAUUCUCUUGCCUGGUAAAAGGUCGCUUCAACAAACCAGAUUUCUCCAAGAACUUUGUCCAAGUUUUAAUGAAGAAAAAACCCAACAACCCAGCUGAUACAUUCAGAGAGGGAAUGAUAACACCUGUGAGGCUGAGCUUCAUCACUAUGAAGCUGAACAGGACACCCAACACAAAGCUCACGACGAAAGCUCUCAAGGUCAGCUGCCUAUGCCAUGGAGGGGUGCAGUGGGGGGAAGCUGUAAGGGCGGUGAAAUGGAAUUGAACUAACACCAUGUGCUUCCAUUACACCCCAUCUUCCACUGUAAUCGCAGAGAAACAAGACCGUCAUUUUGGCCAGGUCAAGUGAUCCAUGGAAUUCAUGAUACUCUUCGCACAAUGUUUGAGGAGGAAGAGUUUCACCAUCAGUCCGCGCAAAGAGGGUUCAAAAGCAAGAAUUUCAUAGCAGAAGCCCAGGACUCGCAGGCGCCCGCCCAAGACCCGCGGGCACCCGUCCAUUCGGGCAGAAUCUUCAGGACUCGCGAGCGCCCACCUAGAAGCCGCGGGCACCAGCCAAUCAAGCCAGUACCCUCAUGCACCCGCGGGUGCCCGCCGUUUUGGGUAGAAUUUUCGAACUUCCGCGGGCGCCUGCCGAUCUGCAGACAAGUGGGUAUAGGUCUGCAUUGUUUCCUUCAAGGCUGUCCCCUUGACCCAUUGUGUGGUCCUGAUUUCUCCUAGGGUUGUUGAGCCACGAAAAUGAAGGGAAAAUGAGGAUGUUUUUGGCUAGAUAAGGACUUGGAGGCUUGUAUUGUCUAAUAUCUCACUUUUGGAAGGUUUUUUUAGAGUGAGAAAUAUUGUGAGCUUGAGUUUUGUGAGUCUUGGAGACCAUAGGUGCGAAAAUGGAGUUGAAGAUGAUCUCUUCUCCUUCCUUCCUUGCUCCUAUGGGUAACUAACUCCCUAUCUAGGGAGGUGAUGAAGCCCUCUCUAGUAAGCAUGUCUUAGUUUUAUUUAAUUUGGGGAAUGAUUCAUGUACAUGGUAGUUCAUGAUCUAGAGCACUUUACAUUUUUGUAAAGUCCCAGUGGUUCGACUUACUCGUCCAAUAGCCCUAUUUUACAAUGAUUUGUGUUAUUGCAAAUGGUUGAUUGUUAUUGAUAGUUGACGAGAUCCCAUCAUAUAUACUAGUGUGUGUGUGUGUGUGAAUUUGCAUGUUUAACAACAAACAGCCACUUGGCAUUGUCAAGAAUCCAAUGGUGGACCUUGAAUCUUCAUAUAUUGUUAUUGAAUAAUGGGAUUUAUACAUUCAGUUUCAUAAUUAACAAAUAGAGUCAGAAAAGCGUAGUUUGCGAAAAACGACAUCAUUUGGUACGUAUAAAUCAACGAGAUACUUUUGACAUUUGCAUACAAGAAGAAUAGUCUUGUGUGUAUGCAUCCAAAUUAUGAAAUAAUAUUUUAGGGGGAGGAAUAUUUUAUAUAUAUAUAUAUAUAUAUAUAUAUAUAUAUAUAUAUAUAUAAUAGGAAGGUUGGAGGAUGAAAUAUGGGAUGCUUUGAUAAGGACUUAGAAUAUAUAUUAGGAAGGUUGGAGGAUGAAUAUUCCAAGUCCUUAUCAAAGCAACCCAUAAUUCCCAUUGAUUAGGACCAUUUCUUGUUAAAAAAAGUCAAUUAUAUACUAAUUAUAUUUGUUGGAAUAUGAUUGACAGCUACAUAUAUUCAUGUAUGAGUUUUAUAUUAUGUGUUUAGUCAACUUUUCACAUCUGUCUAGC